AACCACACAGCAAAAUCACCAGUGUUAAAUUUUCAGGGAUGGUGUUAAAUACACAGUGUUGAUGCUGUUUUAACACUAUCUGGUAAUAAAAUAACACUGCCAUUGCUAGGCCAGUGUUAUAUCCAUGACAGUGUCAGUGUAAAACAAGGGUGUUACCAGAUUUCACACUGAGCGGUGUAAAUCAAGCCACGCCUCCACUAAACAUUUCCUGUCAGGGAUUUUACCGCCAUUUUCUUUCAAAGGAGGACUGAAGAGAGCAGAUGCUAGUUUGGUGAAAGUAAGUUACACACUGAGUGCUUCAAAUCAUUCAGAAGAGAUGCUGUUUUUAGGGCAGUUUAUUAAAGAAGACCUGACAUGGAUGACUUCCAAUGAGAAACGACUGCUAAUACUUAUAUAAAUUCAUUACAGAAGGACCCUACCAGACUAUAUUUGAAUACGGCAUACCCGUGAAUUCUGGAACUGUUAUUCCUGUUUGGAGGAUAAGAGCUUACCAACUAUAAAUAUGCUGAGGUGAUGUAUUGCAAAAUAGCCAACAUACAACAAUUAAAUGAUAAUUGCAGCCUAUAUCCUGAUGAAGAUAUGGAUGACCCUCUGUCUGGUCAACAAUAGUUUAAAUAUGGACGGGACAGUUAUGUGGCAGCUCUUCCCUGACUCAUUCACCUCUUGCCUUCAUUUGUGAAAGGAAGAAAGACUGGAGAGGGUCAAUGUGCAACUGAAGCUACUGAUUGUGCUGUGUGAUGAGCAUCAAUCCAUGCUUUGAGGGGGAUGAAUCAGCACAGCCCUGCCUGCUCUGCGUUGCGAACAAAAGUUGCAUCCAGAAUUUUUGCAUCAUUCUGGACCAAAAAGCCAUUCCCUCCAUGAUGAAGACCACUGAUGCAGCCUUCCACUACAUCAUGAGUAAAACAACUACAGAACUUAAUACCAGGUUGGAACGUGUUUAAGAAAAAUGAAACGUCUUUUGAAUUGAAAUGUCUGUUUUGUUAUGGAAAAAUCUUUAGUAUUGUGAAGGAUAAGCAUUUCUGCUUGCCGAUAAGGUAAUUGCAUGUAUUUUAAUGUUCAAGUGUUGAGUAGGGUGGCUAAUUUUUUUAACUCUUAUUUGAUUUAUUAAAGACCUUUAUAAUAAGUGGUUUUCAUGUCACUGUGCUGUGGUAUAAGAUAACUUUCAUUAUUCCAUACUGUAUUCUGUGUCUAAUUGUAGCUGAGGUAUUUAAAUAAGCAGUGUUAAAUGCAAAGUGUUGUGUGUAUCAAUGUAAAUAUUAAAUGUGAUUUACUUUAAUAAAAAGAGGUUUUGCAAUAUUUCUUGUCAUUUUUCUUUUAUAGAAACAACCCAUUAGCAACAAAAGUGGCUAU